UUCCUCAUUCCUCAAAGCCACUAGCUCGAAGCACGUAAUUGUGUGACGCUGGGGAAGAAGCCGUGGACGUCUGCAUCCUGUUUCUGUUCCCAUUCCUAUUUCUCUGGUGCACAAAGCAAAAUCACGCAAACUAUAAAGACCAUCGGGGAGAGGGGAAACAGGAUCCUAAAGGGAUGAGGCUGCCCCGGGACAGACCCUUCCCCAAAGGGGACAGGAGGCAGAGGAGGGGCUCCAGGAUCAGAGGCCACCCCCUCCGCUGCAUGGCACACACAUGGGGUCUGCUCAAAGUAAAAACAUGGAUUUGGGUCCUGUCGCCUUGGUCUCAUUAUUUUUAUUGCCUCUCAGUGGUUGCCCUGAACGCUGUGCUCAAGAUGGGAAGGAAAGCAGGCUGACACAACUCAUCUGCAGGACGGGGGAGGAGAGCACCGUGGCACACAGCCUGAGGGCCCGGCUUCUGCUUCCUGCGGCACUGUCCCAGCUGGCCCCGGGCCCCAUGGAAGCCAACUAGAUGGACAUGCUCUCAGCACUGCAGGUGUUUACAGUACCCACUUGCCCCUGCAGACCCCAAAUGCCAGGGGACUCAUCUGCUGAUCGUGGUCGGGGCUGGUGUUGACAUUUGCAUCAGUCAGGCCAGAGCCCACCUCAACGGGUCAUCCUUCUGUCGGCACUUCAGAGGCACUACAGGACAGCUGCAGAGCUGGGGCUCACCACAGAGCAGGGCUGCCACCAGUGUGGGUAGAAGCUCACGACCUGGAAUUUCCCUGCUGUUAUGGAUGGGCCUUGAUGGGCUUUUCUUUGACUUCCUCUUGUAGACCUUUGGACAGCGCUAUUACCGAUGCAAUACAUGCAAUAGCGUCCUGUUCCACUCCAGGAGGGGCUGCGUUUCAGCAAUGGGAGGGGUUUGCCCCAUACCCUGAGGGGCAUUUACUAGGAGCGAAGGCCAGCAGAGCAAGGGCAGCACACCCAGCCAAUCCAUCAGGCCCUGGGAGUCUGCUGUGUGGCAGAGACUGCGGAAGUCUCGCCCCCGCCCGCUUACCAGGACAUUUGGGAGAAUUCAGCAAGCCAUGUAUUCUAAGCCCUGGCAGAUUUAAAGGGGAGAGAGAGAAAGUCGGGGCUCUACAGGUCAAUUUUAUUACUGUUGUCAGGGACAAAUCUGUAGACAGUGUAUGAGAGCAGAGUGUUGAGACAAAGGACUUUCAACGUCAAGGUAAUGAACUUGCAAUGCAAUUUUUUAAAAAACUAUGAAUUGUCAUCAAUAUCCCAAUUGAUAUAUUUCACAUUUAAAAAAUCAAGGUUUCCAUCUUCUCUGGAAACAUACGAAGACGUAGCAACAUUCGGCACAUAUUUCUGCAUGUCAGCAAUCAGCUCGAGCUCAGACACAGCUCUUCCCUCUAAAUGGAGCCAUGUUGUCCAGUUUGCCAGAAUCCUACUGAGUCGCUUUUAAUCAUUUAUAUUACUUGCCUGGCUCUGCAGGCAUUUGAGUUGGGGGGCCUCACGCUUACUCGCUGGGCCCCAGAGGUCCAAUCAAGCAGGGCUUGUAGGGAGAAGCACCUCUCUCUUAUUUACCAACCUGGCCCAAGGGCGGACACGUGACUCUUUCUCCCUAUUGCCUCAUCAAACCUACCUCCCCAGUCUACACAGAUAAUACAACAUGGAACCAGUUCACUGAAGCAUUACUAAUGGUAUGGGAUAGCAACUCUCUGUGGACACAGAGAAUUCUGAACAUCUUGACUUCGAAAAUACAGCAUUCUAAUCUUCAGUGUAGGGUUUGUGAACUGCCUCCCGGAUCCUGGGGUUGGACUUAACUCCUAGCACCUAAAUCCUUUAAAGCAUUUCUCAGUUCCUCAAAUUUCAGACCCGAGAAGUGAGGCUCAGAAAAUCCUCAGGAUUCCUUCUCUUGUUUGCCAGAGCCCCACCUUCUGAAUUCCGGUUUCCCGUCUGAGGACCUGCCAUUUCACAAUAAUUCACAAUGGGAAAGCCCCUCCAUGUCAAAGAAGACCGAGCGUGCCCAGAUGGACUGCGACAUUAAUAUUCAGCUUACAACAAGAUAAUCACCUCCCAUGACAGACCCCAGCUGUUUAUGCAAGAGACACGUGGGCAUCAUGUUCGACCCUUGCUGUUCCAUUAUAAGCAUCAAUUCUGCCCACACUGAGUGGGGAUCUAAACUUUCAUGUGAAUGGAAGACUCACUCAGCUAUCAGCUUCUUAGGCCUGCAGAACUUUCUUCAACUAAUUCAGCUAAGCGUUGCAAAGCCUUGUGCCCUCCUCCUUUGCAAAGCCCUACUCCCCAGUGUAAGAUAAACUGGACUCGUCUGAGUAGAAGGAAAGAGAGGGGAUUUAUGGGGUGAAGAUUUGAUUUCAAGCUUCUCUACAAUUUAAAUGCUCUGCAGCUCCCUUUCCUCACCUGUCUGCUCCACCCUGCCCAUGUGAGGAUCAAAUGACAUAAGAGAGUGAAAAACUCUGUUAUGAAUUCUCGCAUAAAGUUAGUAAUUAACUAGUACCGAGACUGCACGGAAGUUUCUGUGAGAUGGCUUACAGCGAUUAUGUACACGCCAAGCGGGCAAAUACGUCCUCCUGGGACAUUCAUUCUGUACCUCUGCAGCACGGCUAUUGUCUGACUCAUGUCUGCAGGAUUAGAAGGCCGGUUUCUCAGGAUGCCGGGAAAAUCAGGCCGGUUGGCAAAUCAAUAAUAUCUGCUGGACACCCUCUCCCGGCCAUGCCUGCCAACCUCACAACUCUGCUUCCAGUCUCAGCUCCACCAAGAAAAGCUUCGGAACCACAGAAACGCGUUCUGGGGAAUGAGUUUGUUUAAAGCCUUCGCUGUUGGUUUUAGUCAAAAUUUUUAAAAUAUCUUAAAAGCACGAUUGAUAUAUAAACUAAAAUAGAACUGCAACUUCAGAGAAAAUAAAAAUAGACUUAUCGUAGACUAGCAAUUAAUACCAUGAUAAAUCUAUUUUCAUAUUUCUUUUCUCUUAUUUCAGAAAGUAAGAAUAAAAUGGCUUUGCUUAAAUAUAAAAA